UGUAGCUCAAUGGUAGAGCGCUUGCCUAGCAUGUGUGAGGCCCUGGGUUCAAUCCUCAGCA
rnacentral:tRNA from 1 species